UACAGCACACAUCCUUUACUUCUGCACAAAAUAUAUCACAUCACCAUCCUGUAGCACUGAAGUACACCUUUGAUACAGAUGUGCCGUCUCCAGAACAAAGACUUGCUUAUGAAGAAAAUGGCUUUAUUUUGAU